rnacentral:tRNA from 1 species
GUCAGUAUGGCCGAGUGGUUAAGGCGCUACUUUCGAAAAGUAGUUCAUUCGUGAACCUAGGUUCGAGUCCUAGUGCUGACG